GGCGCCUGUAAUCCCAGCUACUCGGGAGGCGGACAUUGCAGUGAGCCGAGAUCGUGCCACUGCACUCCAGCCCGGGCGACAGAGUGAGUUUCCAUCUCAAAAACAAAAAGGCCAGAGAUAAAAGGCUUCUUUUUUUUCCUUUUAUUUUUUUGAGAUGGAGUCUCGCUCUGUUGCCCAGGCUGGAGUGCAGUGGCACGAUCUUGGCUCACUGCAACCUCCACUUCCCGGGUUCAAGCGAUUCUCCUGCCUCAGCCUCUGGAGUAGCUGGAAUUACAGGCGUAUGCCAUCACGCCUGGCUAAUUUUUGUAUUUUUAGUAGAGACGGGGUUUCACCAUGUUGGCCAGGCUGGUCUCAAACUCCUGACCUCAUGAUCUGCCCACCUCAGCCUCCCAAUGUGCUGGGGUUACAGGCGUGAGCCACUGCGCCCGGCCUUUUUUUUCCGUUUUUUUGUUUAUAAAGUUGCUGGGGUUUUUUUUGGCCUGUUUGAUAUAUGCAUGAAACAAUGUUGUCCAACAAUAAACAGGAAUUUUAUUUUGCUGAGUUGUUCUUAAAAAAAUAGUUGCAAUAUACCAGAGAGAAAAUAAACAAGUAGGCUUUCAAAAAUAUCAAGGUUAUUGGUAUUUAAAAUCAAACUAUGGCUAGGCACGGUGGCUCACACCUGUAAUCCCAGCUCUCUUGGGAGGCUGAGAAGGGAGGAUCACUUCAGGCCAGAAGUUCGAGACCAGCCUGGCCAACAUGGUGAAACCCCGUCUCUACUAAAAAUACAAAAACUAGCCAGGUGUGGUGGUGCACAUCUGUAAUCCCAGCUACUUGGGAGGCUGAGGCAGGAGAACCACUUGAACCUGGGAGGCGGAGGUUGCAGUGAGCCGAGAUCACACCACUGCACUACAGUCUGGGUGACAGAGUGAGACUCCAUUUCAAAAAAUUUUAAAAAUAAAAUCAAACCAUUAGAGUAGUUCAGACCUUCCCCUAACACUUGCAGGGCCCAGACUAAGAAUGCAAAAGAAGGCCCAAAUAUCCUAUAUCCAGGUAUUUAAGUUGCAAAUCGAAUUAAACUGUCAGAGAAAACAUGCUCUAUCUUCCUAGCUUGACAAAUGCGCCCUUCUAAAACAUUAAGCUUUUUUUUUUGGCGGGGGGUUGGAGGGGACGGAGCCUUGCUCUGAUGAUGCCCAAGCUGGAGUGCAGUGGCAUGUUCUUGGCUCGCUGCAACCUCCACCCCCGCAAUUCAAGCAAUUCUCCUGCCUCCGCCUCCCAAGUAGCAGGAUUACAGGCAUGGGCCACCACACCUAGCUAAUUUUUGUAAUUUUUUAGUAGAGACAGAGUUUCACCAUUUUGACCAGGCUGGUGUCAGACUCGCAACCUCAGGUGAUCUGCCCACCUCAGCUUCCCAAAGUGCGGGGAUUACAGAACAUUAAACUUUUAAAAUUGGUUUAAAGCUCUAUUUCUCCUAAGGUAAAAAAAUGGAGCUAGUGCAAUGGUGUGCACCUAUAAACUCAGCUACCCAAGAGGCUGAGGCAGAAGGAUUGCUUGGCUCAAGAGUUUGAGACCAGCCUGGGCAACACAGCGAGACCUUGUCUCAAAAAAAAAAAAAAGGCAAAAUGUCAAGAUAAUUGAGUGUGAUUAUGGUUGAAUGUGUCCGGAUGCUCUGAUGAUAAGCUGGUGAUUAGGGGACGAGUAAUAAAAUAAAAUACAUAUUGCAUUAUUAUUAUUUUUUUGGGCCUUCACUUAUGUUAUUUUAUUUUCCAAGACGGAGUCUCACGCUGUCACCCAGGCUGGAGUGCAGUGGCGCGAUCUCGGCUCACUGCAACCUCCGCCUCCUGGGUUCAGGCAAUUCUCCUGCCUCAGUCUCCUGAUUAUCUGGGAUUACAGGCAUGCAUCACCAUGCCAGGCUAAUUUUUGUAUUUUUAGUAGAGACGGGGUUUCACCAUGUUGGCCAGGCUGGUGUCCAACUCCUGACCUCAUGAUCUGCCCGCCUUGGCCUCCCAAGGUGCUGGGAUUACAGGCGUGAGCCACCGCGCCCGGCCCACUUAUGUUAUUAUAAUUGAAAUCCGCACAUAAUUUAUGCUCUACUGACGGUAUAGAUGCUUGUUACAUCUAGUCCUACAUACAUACAAAUGUAAGAAUAGCAUGCAUCAUUCAGUGUUAGAAAAUGUUUCUCAGGUGCUAUACGCAACUGUGGUGAAUACCAAAGUGAUUUAAGUACCUCAGGAAUCAGAAUUGGAAUGUGAAAAGAACACGAAUGCUCAGCAUACCAAUAUUUCAAUUAGGCAAGAGCUAAUUGCUUUCAUGCUAACCACGUGUAAGGAUUUGGCAGGCAAUUAUGUUUUUUUCUUUCUUAAGUGCUUCCUCCUCUGGAAUCCUUCCUCUAAUUGGAACAGUAUCUGCUUUGACAUCAGUGGCAUACAACCCACAAACUCUCAUGACCUUUGUAUGCAGGUGCCUUGUGUGUUGGGAGCAUAGGUCAAGAGAUAUCCCUUGGUGAGCAGUGUUGCACAUAAGCGUUGGUGUUUAGGGCUUUAGGUCAUGCUGUGCCAGCACAGGGCAUGGGGUCCUGAGAGACGAAAGCACCAUUUGCCUGUAACAAAGCAACAUAGGUAUUGGGGUGCAUAAAAUGUGUCGGGGUGCCAGGGUUCACAGCAGGGUCCCUCUUGCCUGGGUCUAAAGGAGAUAUUGCUGCACUUCAUAAACAAAACAUUUGUACUAAUUAUGCCAAGAAAAUUCUUUGUUCAACCUGAUUCUACCCCUUUUAGGUAUCCAAUAUAAUAAAUUACAACUCCAUAGUAUUAAAUUAAUGUCUUCUUAAAGUAGAAUCAUAAGAACAGUAGAGAAAUAUAGUAAUAAGGGAAACAAUAAAUUGGGGUCCUGUUCACUAGCAAAUCGUGCCUGCUCUUUGUUGAAAAUGUGAAAAUUAAGGUAAAUAGCAUUAUUUUCUAAAGCACGUACACAGGGUAGAGCUGUUGUAAUUGUGUUUUUGUUUUUUUGCAUUUCAAAAAGUCUCCUAGGCCGGGCACCGUGGCUCAUACCUGUAAUCCCAGCACUCUGGGAGGCCAAGGCGGGCAGAUCACCUGAGGUCAAGAGUUCGAGACCAGCCUGGCCAACAUGGUGAAACCCCGUCUCUACUAAAAAUCACCCAUUUUCCUUAGUUCAUUCAACAGUGGGAUUCCUGUGGACUUAUGUUUUCUAGUUUUGUGGGGGAAAAUCAGAACUACUUUCCCAGAGGAAGUGAAAGUUAAGCUGAGACUUAAGGAGGUGGCAUUCAGCCAGGUGAAGGGCAGUAAUCCAGGUAAAGUAUCGAACCAUAUAUCCCCCCAGUUCUCAGUAGUGCUCAGGGGACAUUCCCAUUAGUGAUGAUUCAUGUGGCAGUGAGCAGGAGAAGCAGCUGACUGCCACGUAGGACAACUGCUGUUUUACUCCUAGCUAUCUCUCUUGCCCAAGCAGUAGUAUACAAGUGGGCAUGUCAUAUAUUAAAAAAUAUAUAUUCAAUAUAUACAAAUAUGUAUCAUAUAUUAUUUAUAUUAUAUAUAUCUAUAGGUAUCCAUCUAUCUAUCUAGGAAACAACAUAAGAAAUGUAAGAGCUGGUCCCUUGCAUUGGAGAAGUUUAUACAGCAGUGAAGGAUAUAAACAGGAGAAUCAGACUUAGGGAAAGUGAAUAAGGAAAAAACAUCACGAAAUGCCAGGUAAGUGAGUGACCUGCAUCAUACUUGCACUUAAAGCUUCGUCUCUUCACUCCCUGAACAACCAGUGAAACAGAAAGCAAGGAUAGGGGAACUGGCUAACAGCUGGUUUUGAUGUCUUGUCCCAAGAACUCCUUUCUGGCCUGGCGCAAUGGCUCACGCCUGUAAUCCCAGCACUUUGGAGACUAAGGCGGGCGGAUCACUUGAGGCCAGGAGUUCGAGACCAGUCUGGCCAACAUGGUGAACCCUGUCUCCACAAAAAGUACAAAAAUUAGCCAGGCAUGAUGGCGCACACCUGUAGUCCCAACUACUCAGGAGGCUAAGGCAUAAGAAUCACUUGAACCUGGAAGGCGGAUUUGCAGUGAGCUGAGAUUGUGCCACUGUACUCCAGCCUGGAUGGCAGAGUAAGACUCUGUCUCUGGGAAAAAAAAAAAGAAGUUCUUUCUGAUAUCCGGAACGCCUUCCGUCAAAAAGAAAAACACCACCAAAAGAAACCAGUCACCCCAUUACAGUGUGCAGGUAAAGAGCACUGAGUUAGACUUCUUCCUCCAAGGGCUGGUCCCAAGCUGCAACCUGGACACUCCUAUAGCUAGAUGCCUGCGGUGUGCAGCGGCUCCCCAGCCCGAGGCCUUUGCGGAGGCUGGGCUCAUCCCACUCACCUAGACCUGGUGAAGGGGGAAGGGAGGAGGGCCAAAGGUGUGGGGCAAGGGAGGGUGAGGAGAAAGAAGGAAGACAGAGACUACAGCACUCCAUGGUCAAUGGCAUAAAAGAGGGCCGGCUACCUGUUGUCAGGGCCACUAUCACAACCUCCUGCUACUCCCAUGCAUGGGAGGGGCAGGGCUGGGCCUGGGUGCUACCUGGGAGGGGCAUCCAUCCAUAAUCUGGAUCCAGGCCCCACCUGUGCCCCUUCCCUUCUGGAACUCCCACCCUCACCCGCUUCUCUCUGCUGGGUUCAGUCUUUCCGUCGGGGAAACCUGUGGCACUGUUUGUCUAGGUAAAAUCAGGGCCCCGGCUUUAUUCUGGGAAGCUCUGAAUAAUAAUUACUAGGGAGAAGAGGGAGGAAGCAACGCGGUAAAUCAAGAAAGGACUGGGCGCUGAUGAGGUCCCCGCCACUGUGUUGUCACUGAGCUGUUGUGGUGCUGCUGUCAGCGCACCCGGGCCCACCUAAACCUUUCCAUUUCUUACCUACAUUUGGUCUCAUUCAUUCGCAUCUAGAAAUGUAUUCAAAUGAAAAACAAUCCAGGAUAUAUGCAUACGUUAAUUUUCAGGGAUGUUUAGCAAGGCUAUUUGUGGUAGAAAAAUUGGAAGCUACAUAAAUAACUAACAAUAGGCGACUGAUUCUAAAUCAUGGAAAUUCGUUUAGUAAAACUUUUUUUUUUUGAGACAGAGUCUAGCUCUGUGACCUGGGCUGGAGUGCAGUGGUGCAAUCUCGGCUCACUGCAACCUCUGCCUCCCGGGUUCAAGUGAUUCUCCUACCUUAGCCUCCCAAGUAGCUGGGAUUACAGGCGCCCACCACCACGCCCAGCUAUUUUUUGUAUUUUUAGUAGAGACGGAGUUUCACUGUGUUGGCCAGGCUGGUCUCAAACUCCUGACCUCAUGAUCCACCCGCCUCAGCCUCCCAAAGUGCUGGGAUCACAAGCAUGAGCCACCGUGCCCGACCAGAAAUUUUUUUUUAGACAGGGUCUCACUCUUUGCCCAGAAUGCAGCACAGUGGCAUGAUCAUGACUCACUACAGUCUCCAGUUCCUGGAAUCAACCAAUCCUCCUGCCUCAGCUUCCUGAGUAGCUGGGAUUACAGAUUCAUACCACCACCCUUGGCGUGUGUGUGUGUGUGUGUGUGUGUGUGUGUGUGUGUGUGUGUAGAUGGGGGUCUGUGUUGCCCAGGCUGGUCUUGAACUCCUGGGCUGAAGCCACCCUUGCGCCUCGGUCUCCUGAAGUGCUGGGAUUGUACGUAUGGGCCACCACACCCAGCCUUUUGGUAGAAUUUAUUGCGCACAUUUAAAGUCAUUUUAUGGGAGAAUAUUUAUGAUUGACAGAAAAUGCUCACUAUAGGCCAGGUGCGGUGGCUCACGCUUAUAAUCCCAGCACUUUGGGAGGCCGAGGCAGGUGGAUAACUUGAGUCAGGAGUUCAACGCCAGCCUGGCCAACAUGGUGAAAGCCUGUCUGUACUAAAGAUACAAAAAUUAGCUGGGCGAGGUGGCCUGUGCCUGUAGUCCCAGCUACUUGGGAAGCUUGGGAAGCUGAGGGGGGAGAAUUGCUUCAACUCCGGAGGCGGAGGUUGCAGUCAGCUGGGAUCAUACCACUGCACUCCAGCUGGGCAACAGAGGGAGGCUCCAUCUCAAAAAAAAAAAAAAAGCCCACUAUAUAUUGAGUAAGGAGAAAGCAGUUUACAAAACAGGUUUUGGCGGGCUUCAGAAGAAAACAGGGAGACAUAAUAUGGAUGGGCAGAGACAGGAAAGUGGUAUCUCUAGGUAGCUGGCUGCUAGGAAUAAAUUUUAUGCCGUGUUAUUUUUGCAAAGAUAAGAGACAAAAGGAUAUGUUUUAAAUUGCGGGGGUGGUCAGCAGUUCACUCACCGGUGCUGUGGGCUUUGUUCCCUCCCUGGAAAGGGAC
rnacentral:lncRNA from 1 species